CUAUUAUUGUCCAAAGAAUAGAAUAUCCAAAAAUCAGAAUAUGCUAUAGUAAUUUUUGAUGUUUAAUGACAGUGAAGACUAAAAAAAAAAAAAUUACAGGGAUUUUUCCCAAUAGAUGAAUGUCCACCGAAUGUGUUCCAAUUACGUAAGUGUAGUCUGCUACUUUGGUGUGGAAUUGAAUAAAAUUCAAAGUAUGAAAAAAAAUGGUAAGAAUGAUACCUAGGAUCACUCAACUGAGCUUAAUAAAAUGUAAAAAAUGUCAUUUGUAGGCUCUCCAGAAUAAAAGAUAAACAGUAAUUUUGUUCAGAAAUCACUGUUAGGUGAAACAAGGCAUCACUCAACGGAAAUUACACAUAAAGUGUUAAAUAUUACACAAAUAAUAGGUUUCUCUAAUACCACGUUGCCUACUCUACUGGUUCGUGAUGACAUUGAAGAUGAAGGCUGGUUAGACUGCAGCAGUUGCCAUGGUGGUUCUCGGUGCUACUCAGCAGGUUGGCUGGUUUUUCGCUUUGGGGACACACAAGACUGUGCUUCCCAGAGCCUAUGAAAUUCGGUGGCCAUGUGACUUAUUUUCACAAUGAGAUGGGGGCACUGAUGAAUCAUUCUUCAACCCCCUCAUCUCCUGAGUCCAAGACGGUGCAAGCCCGAAGCUGUGUUAACGUGGACGACCAGAUGGAGGCUCUCAGUCCUGGGGACCAGGCAUGAAAUAGCAGGGCAUGAAAUACAUCUCUACUGUUUUAAGCCACUGAGAAGUUGAUUCCUUAAUUAAGAUUCCUUAAUACAACAUACCUAGCUAUGCUGCUGGAUACAUAUCUGUUGUCUCAAACAAAUAGCUUUGAAAGAAAGGCAAGCGUGGGUGUUUCCACCAGGAAGAUCAAGAAAAUCCCUAUGAUAUGAACAUAUGAAAUUAAUUCUCGAGGGGGGAUGGGAUCUGUUUUCAUCUUCUAGACUAUUAUCGAAAAUUAUUCAUGAGGACCGAGAUGACAACUGAGAAAUGGGUUUCUUUCUGGUUUACAGAGGCCAUGAAAAAAAUUUACUGAUAUUAUGGCACUAAUCUACCUUCCUAAGACUUCUCAAAAUCAGUAUGAUGGUAAUUUCUUGGCUUUCUCUCACUUUCUUUGUCUCCUUAUCUCUCUAUCUCUCUCCCAUCCUCUCCACCUGCUAUCAGGAGCUUAACUAGACAAACCUAGAGAUAUAUUGGGAUGUGUUGCUAAAACCAAUAGAGAUUCCAGCAUCCACUGGAGGAUCAUUAGAAAAACAAACACAUGAAAAACGCUGAUAGACUUGCUGCAUGAUGAAAAUGUACACAGAUGAAUAUAACUUUAGAACUAAGGAAAGUUUUUUCCUUUGCAAAUGAAAGCUUACAGAAGUCCUAGAAAACAACACAAGGGAUGUAUUUCACAUCUUUUAAGGCUUUGCCUCUAUGCAUUUAAUCUAUGCAGCACUCAAAUCUAGAAAUAUUACCUGCCUUUUUGCAGAUGGCAAUGUUGUGGCACAUAAAGAGCAGAGUUGGACUUCACAUUCAAGGCAGACCCCAAACCUCUAAGUUAUAUAAAUAGAAUUGAUCUGCUCAGUCCUUGCUUCCUGCCCAGAGAAUAUGGCUUCAGCAUGGGCUUAAUGGAACCCCUGAGGGUUUCUAAAUAACUUCUGAAAAUUAAUGAGCUUAUAGAAACUCAUAUUUCAAUAAUUAACAUACAUUGGUAGGGCUCAUUUCACUACGUCUCAUGAAUGAAAUUUUAAGUUAAUGAACCUAAAGAGACUAUUAUCAAUGGGUCAAAUAGUUUCACAGACGGCUCAAUGGGAAAAUCUGUCACAUGAUUGUCAUUUUCCAUAUCAUUUAUUACAUCAAAAAUGGUACUUUUUUCUAUAGUCAUUUAUUUUGUGAUGCGUUACCAUUUAAAAUAAGCAAUGGCAUGUUGUAUUUUUACCAGCUCUUCUCCCAUAAAACAUCUGUACAUGUAGCACCAGGCGGAAGAGCUGGGGUCAGUGAGUAGAUCCAUCAGCUGCUAUUAUUUACACUGACUCCCUCAAAAUCAGGUAGAGAAACCACAGAUAUAGUCCCCAAGAAGCUCUCAAGAAGGCAGAUGUAAUUCAAUCCUUUUAUUACUGACCCUGGUUUUUCUCUUCAUAACUUCAGCUGCUAUCUGUAGGACAACCAUGCUGCCUUUCUCUAAAAACCUAACUCCAAGAGUUCCCAUUGUGGCUCAGCACUAACGACCCCAACUAGUAUCCAUGAGGACAUAAGUUCGAUCCCCAGCCUCGCUCAGUGGGUUGAGGAUCCGUCAUUGCUGUGAGCUGUGGUAUAGGUCACAGAUGUGCCUUGGAUCCUGUGUUGCUGUGGCUGUGGUGCAGGCGGUAGCUGCAGCUCUGAUUUGACCCCUAGACUGGGCACUUCCAUAUGCCGCAGGUAUGGCCCUAAAAAGAUAAAAAAUAAAUAAAUUAAAAAAAUAAAAACCUAACUCCAACCAAAAAUCCUCUUCCCAAGACCUUCCCUCAAGAUGGAUGAAUCAGUCACAUGUACAUUCUCCUUUUCUGGUUGAAAAAUGAUGGAUCUAUCUAUGUAAUAUCAAUUAUCUGUCUACACACAUGCACACACACACAUAUGUAAAAUAUAAUACAAUACAUGCCGAUAUUUAUAUAUGAGGGAGGGAGACAGACAGACACAGAAAUAAUCAUACCAAAAAAUUUGCUCCGGAACAGUUGGGACAGUCCGAAAUUCGUGGGCUGGGGCAGGAGGAAAGGAUUAAGAAAAUAUUGUGGACAGGCUUCAACUCACAGGCUACUGUCCACAGGCUGAAUGUCUUCUUCUUGGGAAAGCUUGCCUUUAAGGCAUUUUAGCUGAUUCAAUCAGGCCCCACAGAGGAUCCAGGAGAAUCCUACUUCAUUAAAUUAAAGUCACUUAGAUCUGCAGCCACACCCACAUUCGUAUUUUUUUGAAUAACUGGGUACCGUAGCCUACCCAAGUGGACACAUCAAAGAAACAACCAGGAUGGAGCUUUGGCCACAUAUAGUUUGGCCACCUAAACCAUUUGCUUUAUUUACAGUUUCCGUUUUUAUCAGCCAGACCGUAAAUAUUACUUGACUAUAAUAAUCCUUAAAACAUAGGGCAAAUGUCAAGGCAACAAUCAGUGGAUCAGGCUUUGAACAAUGUCAGUGGGAAUUUUUCUUCCAUUUAGUAAAACAUCCACACCCUACUUUUUGUGAUGACAAACUCAGCUUUUUCUCUUUAUGUCUAUUUGCUUCUGAAAGAUUUAAUGGCUAUACGUUUUCAUUGAUCUUUUCAUAUUGAUUCGCUUCAUUUCUAACCUGUCUUUAUAUUUCUACUUUCUCCUAUAUGGUAAAGUCCCUUUUUGUUCAAAAUGGCAUAGCCAACUAUAAGUAAAAUACUGACAUGAGAGGUCAUCAGGAUGAAAUAAAGAAGGUGAUGGAAAGGCAUGCUGAAACUUUGUAAGGAAAUUAAAAAGUCAAUAGUAUCAUGAAGAUCUAUAGGAAAGUAGUUAUUAAAAGACUGACUCAUCAAGAAAGUGAAUCAGAAUGUACAGAAAAACAAUAGUAGAGAAAUGAUGGUUAUGAAGGGUAAAACAAGAAGACCCAACAUUCAAAGAUUUUGUAUUUGAUUAAUAGCUAGAAGGAAAAGACAUUUGAGAAGAAGCAACAAAGAUCUAAUGGACACAACAUUACCUAAGUCAAAGAAAGAUUUGUGUAUAAAAAUUGAAAGGAUUUUUCACCUGCCAAAAAAAUCAUUAAACUAACAUGGACCCAGAUAUAUGCAUAAAAAUAUUUAAGGAGGCAAAGAAAGAAUCCUAUCAAUAGCUAGGUAGCGAAAACAGGUUACAUCCAAGGAAACAAAAUUAGUCAGGUCUCUCAAGUUUUUAAACAUCAUUAAAUUUGAAAAGAAAUUAUAAGGAAAAUUAUCCAUAGCCUUUUGAGGAACUUGAAUUGGAAAACACAUUUUAUACCCAGUGGAUUCCAUUUCCUAUAAAUACAUGCAAAUAAUACUGCAGAUACAAUUGUCAACCUUUCCUUAAAAUAAGUAAGUAAAAUAAUAAUUGGAGACAUCUCAUGGACUAUGGCAGAGACAACCAAGAGUACAAAGUCUCCUUCUUCCAAACUGAUAAAAUUACCUCCUCCAAAAGGGGGUAAACAUGCAAAAAUAUAAAGCAGUAACAGAACACAUAAAGAAUUAAAAUCUAAUGUCAGAUUUCUGCCACCAUACUUGACAGAGGAACUGGUACUAAGCUUUCGCUCAGUCUG
rnacentral:lncRNA from 1 species